rnacentral:rRNA from 1 species
UACGUAGGGCAGCGAGCGUUGUUCGGAGUUACUGGGCGUAAAGGGCUCGUAGGCGCCCAACUAAGUCGGAUGUGAAAUCCCCAGGCUCAACUUGGGAACUGCAUCCGAUACUGGUUGGCUUGAAUCCGGGAGAGGGACGUGGAAUUCCAGGUGUAGCGGUGAAAUGCGUAGAUAUCUGGAGGAACACCGGUGGCGAAGGCGACGUCCUGGACCGGCAUUGACGCUGAGGCGCGAAAGCCAGGGGAGCAAACGGG